rnacentral:rRNA from 1 species
UACGAAGGGGCUAGCGUUGCUCGGAAUCACUAGGGCGUAAAGGGUGCGUAGGCGGGUCUUUAAGUCGAGGGGUGAAAUACCUGGAGCUCAACUCCAGAACUGCCUUUGAUACUGAGGAUCUUGAGUUCGGGAGAGGUGUAGUGGAAGCUGCGAGUGUAGAGGUGAAAUUCGUAGAUAUUACGCAAGAACACCAGUGGCGAAGGCGGAGCUCGAAC